AACGAACGCUGGCGGCAGGCUUAACACAUGCAAGUCGAGCGCCCCGCAAGGGGAGCGGCAGACGGGUGAGUAACGCGUGGGAAUCUACCCAUCUCUACGGAAUAACGCAUGGAAACGUGUGCUAAUACCGUAUACGUCCUUCGGGAGAAAGAUUUAUCGGGGAUGGAUGAGCCCGCGUUGGAUUAGCUAGUUGGUGGGGUAAAGGCCUACCAAGGCGACGAUCCAUAGCUGGUCUGAGAGGAUGAUCAGCCACACUGGGACUGAGACACGGCCCAAACUCCUACGGGGGGCAGCAGUGGGGAAUAUUGGACAAUGGGCGCAAGCCUGAUCCAGGCAUGCCGCGUGAGUGAUGAAGGCCCUAGGGUUGUAAAGCUCUUUCACCGGUGAAGAUAAUGCCGGUAACCGGAGAAGAAGCCCCGGCUAACUUCGUGCCAGCAGCCGCCGCGGUAA
rnacentral:rRNA from 1 species